AAGUGUUCAGUUUACUACAGAGAAAUUGAUUAUCCCAAUUCCAACAUGGGGUUGCUAACACUUACAUCUAGUUUUCGGGGUGUAGAAUUGAGGCACUGGCACUUCCUGAAGAAAUACAAAGUACUCAAAAGUACUCAAAACCCCCUUGGUUAAGGGGGGAGCUUUUUCUCUAGGCUUACACGAACCCAGCUCUCUCUUCAUCUCAUUCAUCACAGACUAGCUUCCUAACUCUCUUGGUGGGUCUUGACUAGUUGGCUUCUCCAGUAUGUUGACAAUUCUUCUAAUGGGGACCUAUUGGGCUGCAUUGUAAUGGGCUGUACUGCAGGUACAGCCUCACAAGCUAUCAGCAGAGGGAAACAAUCACUACCCUCAACCCCCUGGCUACUUCAUGACUCCGAAUUUUCAUGACAUUUAUGCUGCUGCAUUUAUUCCAGAAUUUUCUUGGUGGUUUUCCAUGCCUUAUAACUUCAUUUUCAUAUUCUGAUUUUUCAAAUUGCUUUUCUCUUGAUGACAGAAAAAAAAUCCUUGUAGAUGUGUGAAAUGUUCCAAUUUAGUAAACAAGAAGAAAAUAUAACUAGCUUUGUGCAAAGUUCUCUGAAAUAUGGAAAAAAAAAAAAAAAAAGAUUUUUUCAGUAAUCAUAGGUUAAGAGCUUUUUAUGUGGUGGCAUAUUCAUGAUGAUAAAUAAUGUCAGUUAUUUAGAAGGACAAUUUUUAAAAUUAUCAUAUUAAUUGCAGGGAUCAUUUUUAAUGCAAAGUUACAUAGCUUUUUUUCCCAAUUUAAAAUAUGUACCUCUUAAUGCAGAAAAACUUGUGGGAAUGCCUCAUGAUCUCUCAGUGGAUCAGUAAAAUUUCCUAGAAAUAUAGGCUGUGGAGGCAGAGAACAUGUUCCUCAGCUUCUGCCUGCAGUGCAGAGUGGAGCUAAAGGUCACGACUGCACCAUUUUUAAAAAAGGAACAGGCAGAAGCUCCCAGCUUCGUCCACUUCCCACACACAUAUGUCCUACGAGCAAGGGGUGUUUGAGAGCCUUGAGUCUUACUGUCUGGGUCGAUGUAUAAUGGAUCUGCUGUUGGGGACAGUCUCAAGCACUAACGAAACAGCGAUGCACACUGCUUCUCAUCCCCCUUGCCUAAGGUCCGCCCUGGAUUUGUGUGUGUGUGUCUGCCUUAGCUUGACAUCCAAGUCAGGGUAUUAAAUGCUGGUGUUUCAUCAGAGGAGUAAAACCCAGUCAACUUCUUCAUCCGCCUAGAAAACAAUUAACAAAAAGGAUAAUUAUGAUAGCAGGAUGGGUGGAAGAUAAUGUGUUUCCUUAGGCUUGGUCCGCUUGCUGAGAGGCCUGUAGAUAGCCAGGGUAGCAGAGGACGUCCACUACUUGGUGCAAGGCCUUUACCACGCUGAUCAGGUCUCGCUGUUUGCAAUGUUACCUGCCGUGUUGGUGAAAAUGCUCUCCAAACUGCAGAGAAAGAGGGAAUCAUACUUCUUCAGAGCUUUUACCUUCUCCCACAGAUAAUGGGUGGAGCUGGGUGUUACAGGCCUGUAGUCAGAUAUGUAUCUUUUCUGAGGAAAGCUCCCUCCAUUUUCUGUAUCAUCUCUUCUUAGUGGUUAUAGGGUAUUAAGCACGAAUCCACAGAAACAAUGAGCUGACACCUUCUUUAAUGACAAUUUACAAAUAAGUGAAAGACACCCCUCACUUUCCAACUGGGUUGAAUGUUGCUACUUCUCUUGUGCCACAGACAUCUUCACAUCACCUCAAGUUUCGCAGUCACAGUUGAUCUGUUUCCUGAUUUUACAUCUGUCAGUUUGCGUAGGCACAGACCUUAUUGAGUUUAUAGUAAACUUAUUUUAUUAUGUAUUUCUACAUCCUACAAUUUCCUAGCUUUCAGUCUGAGGUUGCUUUGGUUUGUUGUUGUUUUUGUGUUGUUUUUUUUUUAAGUGUAGAGGUAUAAGUGCACUCAGCUGUGAGUUGAAGAGGCCAUUAUAAACACAUUAAAAACAUGUUCUUUUUACAACUUAGUAAUAAAUUUUCUUGGUGUGUGUGUGAAAUUGCUUCAGAAUCAGCGUAGGUUAUUUGGAUUUAUUUUUUUUGUUGUUAUAGUAAAAGUAAUUUAGAGAUUGUGGAAGGUGCCAGAAUGACAGCCUUGAAGUUAAGCUGAUUGUUCCAUUAUUUCCUGGCUCUUCUCUUUCAGUCUCAAAAACAUCUGCUCUUUUCUAAUCUCCUGUGAGCUCGGUUUCUCAGACCGUUAAGAGCUCUGAGGCAGUGGGAGCUACUUCUCUAGGUAUCCUUAGGUGAUACUUAUCAGGCUUGUCUAAUCUGAAGACUUUGAAUUUAUGUCAUUAGGUCUAACUUCUUAUAUUAUUCUUUAUCCUGCUCUUUCCCUGGCCCUUGACACCUUUUCAUCAAUGUUACAUGCAUGAGCAAUCUUUCUACAGGGCUAGUUCACCAUUUUAGAUACAUUAACUACUGAUACUCUUUAGAGAGGACUGAUUCAAAAGAAGCCAUAGUCCAGCUUGAAAUCAUCUGCUGAAACCUUUCCCUUGAAUAUAUUUAUCAGUGUUUUCUUUAGGCAUUCAACAAGGUAAGAACAAACUGUGCAUGAAAUUAUUUCCUGUUAUCCUGUAAUUCUCUUGCUAAUUUGAAUCUCAUUUUGCACAUAUUUCUUCUUUAUGUGCAUGCAUUCUUUUACAUUCACGUCAGUAAACAGAAAAAGUUUCCACAGUCUUUAUGAUUCCUUUUCCUGCUUAAAAGUCCACUGGUGGAGAGAACUACCAGAAUGGUUAGGAAGCUGGAGCCCAUGCCCUGUGAGGAGAGGCUAGGAGAAAUGUGUUUGUUCAACCUGAAGAAGAAAUGGUAGGUGAGAUCUAGUUGUUGUCUUCCAGUAAAUAACUAUUACAGGAAAGAAAAAGCCACUUCUCAGUGCAAAGUGGCAGGACCCACUGCAAAGGACACAAGAUGCAGCAAGGGAGACUCCAGCUGGACAGAGGGAAAUUAAUCCUUCCCCACAGGAGGAUUUGAGCACAGAGGCAGGCUGCCCAGGGAGGUGGUGGAUCUUCGUCGUAGGGAUAUUCAAAAUUUGUAUGGAUGAAGUCUUGGGCAAGCUGCUGUAGCCUGGCAGCUAGCUCUACUUUGAGCAGGGGAUUGCACCAGCUAACCUGCAAGAGGUGAUUCAAACCUUGGUCUCUUUCUGGUUCUACUAUUGCUCCUGGGGUGGAUGUCUUUAGUAAUGCACAGAACCACAAAUAUAUGGGUCUCUUCUGCUCAGUACUACCUUUAAAUACCCUCUGGCAAUUCAGAAUUAUAAAUUUUGCAUUUUGAGAUUAGGGAAAUGUGAACUUGAGACAAUCCUGAGGGCAGCGGUUUAACAACAGAGUCAUCAGGUCCCCUACUGACUAUGUACAAUAGUUUGGUAUUGCUAAUCCUUUUCAUUUACUGCCAUCCAAGUUAAUUCAGUGGAAUCCGCAAAACUGCAGAAGGAAUAGUUGUAUUGUUUAUUUUAUAAAUCAGAGUAUAAAAGAUGACUGAGUUGAAGGUAGGUGUAAUUGUUAGUGUUAGAUUGCUGUGCCUCUUCGCAAGAGUGAGCCUGUUCCCUGUCUUUCUGUAUCACCUUGCCAUACUGUUAUUACAGUAGCACUACAAAAGGCACAGGGCUGAGGAAUUGUGUCCUGCGUUUCACAGUGCUGCAUUCCUAGCUGAAGGGGCUGCAGUACAUAAACAAUAUGAGGUAUCUACAGAUCUGAAUUGUUCCUGGUUUUAUUAAGUCAUAUGCUCAGCCGUAAAUGUUAUGUUGUCUCUAGAGGCAGAAUAUGAGCUGCAUAUAAUGACUAUGAGUCUCAGAUAGUAAGAGUAGAUCUGAGCAAUUGUAGGACAUUUUCAUUUCCUGCAAAAACCUGAAAUUGGGGCAGAUUUAUCUGGUUACUAGACCGUACAGGAAAGCCCAUCUCUCUUUGACUUUGGCCAAGAGAUGGUCAUCCACCCAGUCACACACCACACCAGUGCUGGGCCUGAGCUUUGACCAGAGGGGAUUUAAGACAUUGAGGACUGAUGUGUGGUAAAAUCAGAAGAUGCAGUUUCUCAGUUAUUUCAUUUUGGAAAGGAAGUCUAGGCACUAAGGGAAUGCCAGGCCAUGAGGCACUAAUCCUGGCUGGACUACAGUAUGAUUCAAGGCAGCUGGGAAAUUCUCCUCUAUGAACAGAGUACUGUUGGAAGGUGUUAAUAGCAAGCAUGCUUUCUUUGUUCUAGGUGGCUUGUGAGACCAUCUCAAAAACAAAUUGUGGAGAAAAAUAACAUGUGUGCUGCUGAGUCUCCGCAUGGUGAUAACAGAGUAACUCCACUGACCUCUGUGUACCAUACUGAAAGGAGAGCAGAACUCAGUAUAAUCCUUUCCCGAAGUUCAUAGAAAAGCGUGGCAAGUCAGAUUUGGUCUGAGAAGGCUGAUUUCCAGGCUAUAUUCUGAGGUAAACAAAGCUAUAUUUCAAAUCGACUCUGUCCACCAAACAGAGGACACAGAAACAUGGAAAUAAAGAACAAGUUGGCUUGGCAGGCGCUGCUGGAGGUCAUGUAGUGCAGCCCCUGCACCAAGGAGGUCCAGCUUUGAGGCUCAAGCAGGUUGCUGUAGGUGCAGAGUAAAAAAAAAAAAAAUCUUUCUGAGUGAUCCAGAGAUUCAGGAGCCAGCAAGGCUCCUCUUCAAGCGCUCGGUGAUGGACGACGAGAGCCAGCAGCCACAGUCUGCACUGAUCGGACAGGAGGAAAAGGCUGAUCUCCUGCAGGGUGACCAAGCUGGAAGAGGCUAUCCAGAGAGGUGGGGGAAUGUCCACCUUGUGAGAUAUUUGUGACUCACCUGGACAAUGCUCUGAGCAACCUGAUCUAAUCUCAAAGCUGGCCUUUCUUGGACUAAGGGGUUGAAGGAGAUAAACUCACUCCAGCCUGAAUCUUUCUGACCCCCAGGACGAGUCUUACGCCCCCCUCUAAGCCACUAGGAUACAGACUCAGAUGACUGCCUCAUCCAGCCGCACAAUUCAUUUGUACUGAUCUCAACAUUUCUGUUAUAUCAAAAUACGAAACAGAUGCUUGUUUCACAUCUUGCCUAGCAUAAAAUAAAGCAGUUGUUUUUAUUGCACAUCAUGAACGCAGAGUGGAAUUUGCGAGUAAUAUUGAAAGAUUAUGAGAUAUGGUAUGUGAAUGCUGUCAGGCAUUUUUUCGGAAAAGCAUUGUAUCUUCCAGUCUGUACAGCAUGUUCAGAGUCUGAAUAUCCUCGCAAUAAAGUUACCGACUAGCUAAAGAUGCCUCACACGUA